rnacentral:rRNA from 1 species
AUUGAACGCUGGCGGCAGGCUUAACACAUGCAAGUCGAGCGGAGAUGAGGUGCUUGCACCUUAUCUUAGCGGCGGACGGGUGAGUAAUGCUUAGGAAUCUGCCUAUUAGUGGGGGACAACAUUCCGAAAGGAAUGCUAAUACCGCAUACGUCCUACGGGAGAAAGCAGGGGAUCUUCGGACCUUGCGCUAAUAGAUGAGCCUAAGUCGGAUUAGCUAGUUGGUGGGGUAAAGGCCUACCAAGGCGACGAUCUGUAGCGGGUCUGAGAGGAUGAUCCGCCACCCUGGGACUGAGACACGGCCCAGACUCCUACGGGAGGCAGCAGUGGGGAAUAUUGGACAAUGGGGGGAACCCUGAUCCAGCCAUGCCGCGUGUGUGAAGAAGGCCUUAUGGUUGUAAAGCACUUUAAGCGAGGAGGAGGCUACCUGGAUUAAUACUCUAGGAUGGUGGACGUUACUCGCAGAAUAAGCACCGGCUAACUCUGUGCCAGCAGCCGCCGUAAGAC